UGUGGCCAAGUUUUUAAGGGCGCACGGUGGAUGCCUUGGCACCAGGAACCGAUGAAGGACGUGGGAGGCCACGAUAGUCCCCGGGGAGCUGUCAACCAAGCUUUGAUCCGGGGGUUUCCGAAUGGGGAAACCCGGCAGUCGUCAUGGGCUGUCACCCGCUGCUGAACACAUAGGCAGUGUGGAGGGAACGAGGGGAAGUGAAACAUCUCAGUACCCUCAGGAAGAGAAAACAACCGUGAUUCCGGGAGUAGUGGCGAGCGAAACUGGAUGAGGCCAAACCGUAUGCGUGUGAUACCCGGCAGGGGUUGCGCAUGCGGGGUUGUGGGAUCUCUCUUUCACAGUCUGCCGGCUGUGAGACGAGUCAGAAACCGUUGAUGUAGGCGAAGGACAUGCGAAAGGUCCGGCGUAGAGGGUAAGACCCCCGUAGCUGAAACAUCAGCGGCUUGUUUGAGAGACACCCAAGUAGCACGGGGCCCGAGAAAUCCCGUGUGAAUCUGGCGGGACCACCCGCUAAGCCUAAAUAUUCCCUGGUGACCGAUAGCGGAUAGUACCGUGAGGGAAUGGUGAAAAGUACCGCGGGAGCGGAGUGAAAUAGUACCUGAAACCGUGUGCCUACAAGCCGUGGGAGCGUCGCGCAUCGAGCUUGCUCGGUGCGUCGUGACUGCGUGCCUUUUGAAGAAUGAGCCUGCGAGUUAGCGGUGUGUAGCGAGGUUAACCCGUGUGGGGAAGCCGUAGCGAAAGCGAGUCCGAACAGGGCGUUUGAGUUGCACGCUCUAGACCCGAAGCGGAGUGAUCUAGCCAUGGGCAGGUUGAAGCGGAGGUAAGACUUCGUGGAGGACCGAACCCACCAGGGUUGAAAACCUGGGGGAUGACCUGUGGUUAGGGGUGAAAGGCCAAUCAAACUCCGUGAUAGCUGGUUCUCCCCGAAAUGCAUUUAGGUGCAGCGUCGUGUGUUUCUUGCCGGAGGUAGAGCACUGGAUAGGCGAUGGGCCCUACCGGGUUACUGACCUUAGCCAAACUCCGAAUGCCGGUAAGUGAGAGCGCGGCAGUGAGACUGUGGGGGAUAAGCUCCAUGGUCGAGAGGGAAACAGCCCAGAGCAUCGACUAAGGCCCCUAAGCGUACGCUAAGUGGGAAAGGAUGUGGAGUCGCAGAGACAACCAGGAGGUUGGCUUAGAAGCAGCCACCCUUGAAAGAGUGCGUAAUAGCUCACUGGUCAAGUGAUUCCGCGCCGACAAUGUAGCGGGGCUCAAGCGUACCGCCGAAGUCGUGUC
rnacentral:rRNA from 1 species